rnacentral:rRNA from 1 species
UACGUAGGGUGCAAGCGUUGUCCGGAAUUAUUGGGCGUAAAGAGCUCGUAGGCGGUUUGUCGCGUCGAAUGUGAAAACCCGGGGCUCAACCCCGGGCCUGCAUUCGAUACGGGCAGACUAGAGUUCGGUAGGGGAGUCUGGAAUUCCUGGUGUAGCGGUGAAAUGCGCAGAUAUCAGGAGGAACACCGGUGGCGAAGGCGGUCUGCUGGGCAGUAGCUGACACUGAGGCGCGACAGCGUGGGGAGCAAACAGG